GAUGAGCAGCUGAAUAAGCUUAAAGGAGAGUGGGGAGAAGAGGUGCAUAAUGAAGUUAAAACAGAUCUUGAGGAGAUGAAUGAGUAUAAUGCAAGUGGUCGGUACACAAAUCUAGAACUGUGGAACUUCAAAGAAGGAAGAAAAGCAAUACUGAAGGAAGUGUUUAGUUUCAUUUUAGACGACAUCAAAACUCUGAAACGCAAAAGAACCUGAAGGAUGGAGGAAGUGAAAGAAAAAGAAGGAUAAAUGGUCAAGUCUUAUGUCUAUUAAAAAAUGAGAAUGGAUGUUAAAUAAUAAGGAUGCUCAUAUGCUCUCUGUAUCGAGACUACUUUCUUCCACUUGUAUCUUUGAAAGAUUUCGAGCGGUUUAUUGAACCAACGCUUUAUUGAUAACAUUCUGGUUUAUCUUAUAACAUGAUGGUUGAU